CGAAGUAUGGGAAUUCCUACUUG
rnacentral:snRNA from 1 species